rnacentral:misc_RNA from 1 species
UGAAGAACGUAGCGAAAUGCGAUAAGUAAUGUGAAUUGCAGAAUCCAGUGAAUCAUCGAAUCUUUGAACGCACAUUGCGCCCGCCAGCAUUCUGGCGGGCAUGCCUGUUCGAGCGUCAUUUCAACCCUCGACCUCCCUUUGGGGAAGUCGGCGUUGGGGACCGGCAGCACACCGCCGGCCCUGAAAUGGAGUGGCGGCCCGUCCGCGGCGACCUCUGCGUAGUAAUCCAACUCGCACCGGAACCCCGACGCGGCCACGCCGUAAAACACCCAACUUCUGAACGUUGACCUCGAAUCAGGUAGGACUACCCGCUGAACUUAAGCAUAUCAAUAAGCGGAGGA